GACGAACGCUGGCGGCGUGCUUAACACAUGCAAGUCGAACGGAAAGGCCCUGCUUUUGUGCGGUUCUCGAGUGGCGAAGGGGUGCGUAACACGUGAGUAACCUGCCCUUGACUUUGGGAUAACUUCAGGAAACUAGAGCUAAUACCGGAUAGGAGCUCCCGCUGCAUUGAGGGGGUUGGAAAGUCUCGGCUGUUGGGGAUGGACUGGCGGCUUAUCAGCUUGUUGGUGGGGUAGUGGAUUACCAAGUCUUUGACGGGUAGGCGGCCUGGGAGGGUGACCGGGCUCAUUGGGACUGAGAGACGGCCCAGACGCCUACGGGAGGCAGCAGUGGGGAAUAUUGCACAAUGGGCGGGAGCCUGAUGCAGCAACGCUGCGUUCGGGAUGACGGCCUUCGGGUUGUAAACCGCUUUCGCCUGUGACGAAGCGUGAGUGACGGUAAUGGGUAAAGAAGCACCGGCUAACUACGUG
rnacentral:rRNA from 1 species